GUGCUCGCUUCGGCAGCACAUAAACUAAAAUUGGAACGAUACAGAGAAGAUUAGCAUGGCCCCUGCGCAAGGAUGACACGUAAAACCUGCUCUUCAUAUUU
rnacentral:snRNA from 1 species